AGACUGUUUCCAAGGACAGUAAGGGCCUCCUGGAAGCAGACCCAGCCUUUGGAGUUUGGGGAGGAUUAGGAUCCUUGCUUUGUGAAGACUGCUUUUCAGAACCGUAGUUAGAGAACCUCAUCUCUGCUCACCGGCUGUGGUUUUAUUACUGGGACGACAGCAGCUCCGUCAGCAGCGGCAUCAGCGACACCAUAGACAACCUCAGCACUGAUGACAUCAACACCAGCUCCUCCAUCAGCUCUUAUGCCAACACACCUGCCUCCUCUCGAAAAAACCUGGAUGUGCAGACUGAUGCUGAGAAGCACUCACAGGUGGAGAGGAAUUCCCUGUGGUCUGGUGAUGAUGUCAAGAAAUCAGACGGAGGCUCAGACAGCGGCAUAAAAAUGGAGCCAGGUUCCAAGUGGAGGCGGAAUCCUUCUGAUGUGUCUGACGAGUCCGACAAAAGCACGUCGGGCAAGAAGAAUCCUGUCAUCUCCCAGACAGGCUCAUGGCGGCGAGGCAUGACAGCUCAGGUGGGCAUCACCAUGCCAAGGACGAAGCCUUCAGCCCCGGCAGGCGCACUGAAGACCCCAGGAACUGGAAAAACAGACGACGCAAAGGUGUCUGA
rnacentral:sRNA from 1 species